rnacentral:lncRNA from 1 species
CUUCUUUUCAGUAGCUCAUUCCAAAAGAACUUCACAGUUAAGCGUGCUUGACUUGGAGCAAUUUUUGGAUGGGUGACCUACCGGGAAGUUUCCCGGUAAGCGUGCGAGUGAGGACAAAACACGCUGAAAAGACUCGUGUUGGUUUGUGGGGUCAGUCAGCAAUCCUGAAAGCAGUCUGGGAUGUUACAAAUGGUAUCAGAGCAGACGCCGAUGCACAAGGCAUGACAAUGAGCGGCUCCCGACAUCUUCUAGAGGAGCCGAAUCACAUCGGAAUGAGAGAGAUCCUGAGGCCGUGUAGGCAUGGGACUGCAUGGUUGAAGGAAGGCUUAUAAGAAUUGUUUGGUACUACCUAUAUCAACAAGAUGCAUCUUCUUUUCGGUAGCUCAUUCUUUAAGAACUCCAUAGUUAAGCGUGUUUGACUUGGAGCAAUUUUGGGAUGGAUGACCUACCGGGAAGUUCCCCGGUAAGCGUGCGAGUGAGGACAAAACACGCUGAAAAGACUCGUGUUGGUUUGUGGGGUCAG